AGUUUAAGUUAAUAUCGACACAAACUGUGUUGUGUAUAUAUGGUAUAUGAUAAUAUAAUUGGUGGGAAGCUGAAGCUACUUUGGGUGUGAAAGCAGGUGAAAUAAAGAAGAGAAUAAACAUAAGAAACAUGAAGAACAAGCUCUUCAAGGUACUGAUCAUGAACUCAUAAAAGGGUAAACUAAUGAAAGUGUUACAGUUGGUCGAGUGUUUAGAGUGGAAGACUCAUAAUAAGAUUGACAAGAAACCAAGAGUCAAGUCAUUGUACAUGAAAGAGAUUUUGAAGAGAUUUAACACAACAUCUAAAGAAAUUAUUCAAACAUCACAGGAAAACUAUACGAGUUUGUGCACUACGCAUACAUAGAGGACAAGCGUCAUAAGAGCCAUGGGUUGCAAUAAAAGAUGUGUGAUCGGUGGUAUGCUUCAUUUGAGUAAUCAUUUUUUUUUGUAUAUUCUCUUUCAUCAGAUUUUUUUUCUUUGUAUUCUUUUUCUAACUAACAGUAUCAAGAAUCAAGGUUUUGAUGACAUCUUAAAUAUGUUUCUAAUCUGAAUCAGUACAUCAUUUGUUUCUAUUAAGAUCUUA